CCAUUCUGCUGCUGGAGAAAAGGACCCCGAGUCAGUUUUGGGCGUUGUAGAGCAACAGUGAUGCUGGUGUCUCUGAAGGAUACCCAUGUUCUGGGUUGUAUAAACUUGUGCUGGAACUUGCUUCGUUAAGCCACUUUCAGGAACUGACUUAACCUUUGCGUAUUUUGCCUUUCAGAUACUGGCCUCUCACAGUCCCUGGUGUUACCACAAGAAUGUGAUCUUCCCAUUGAGGAUGUGAAACAGAGAAGCCUCAACAAAACUCCCGGGAGGCUCCCAGCAAUGCUGUGUUCUCCAGCCACGACACUGUGCCAGGCCUUGGGAAAACGUAUGUGUGGGCACCUUCCUGAAGGAAGUAGUACUGGAUAAAUGAACU